rnacentral:rRNA from 1 species
CCCCCGGCGGAUUGCCUUAGUACGGCGAGUGAGCGGCAAAAGCUCAAAUUUGAAAUCUGGUACCUUCGGUGCCCGAGUUGUAAUUUGGAGAGGGCAACUUUGGGGCCGUUCCUUGUCUAUGUUCCUUGGAACAGGACGUCAUAGAGGGUGAGAAUCCCGUGUGGCGAGGAGUGCGGUUCUUUGUAAAGUGCCUUCGAAGAGUCGAGUUGUUUGGGAAUGCAGCUCUAAGUGGGUGGUAAAUUCCAUCUAAAGCUAAAUAUUGGCGAGAGACCGAUAGCGAACAAGUACAGUGAUGGAAAGAUGAAAAGAACUUUGAAAAGAGAGUGAAAAAGUACGUGAAAUUGUUGAAAGGGAAGGGCAUUUGAUCAGACAUGGUGUUUUGUGCCCUCUGCUCCUUGUGGGUAGGGGAAUCUCGCAUUUCACUGGGCCAGCAUCAGUUUUGGUGGCAGGAUAAAUCCAUAGGAAUGUAGCUUGCCUCGGUAAGUAUUAUAGCCUGUGGGAAUACUGCCAGCUGGGACUGAGGACUGCGACGUAAGUCAAGGAUGCUGGCAUAAUGGUUAUAUGCCGCCCGUCUUGAACCACGGACCA